GAGAUGUUCUCUUAAGAUUCAAAAGGCUGCUAACUUUUUUUAGAGUGACUAAGAAUCAUUCACAUCUCU
rnacentral:tRNA from 1 species